UAUAUCGCAUGAUGACUUUAUUUUUUUGUAAAUCUUGAAACAGUGUUAAUUCAAUUAAAUUGGCCAAUUAAUUAUUAAUCAGUGUUUUUAAGUGAUUUUGUACAGAAAUUUCUACUGUUGAGGCGACUAUGAUGGCUUUAAAUUUUUCUUAAUAAAAGUCAUCAGCCUUUAAUUCGUGAACUAAAGUAGCUAUGCAAAUUGAUACGCCGAUUUAUUUAAAUAUCAACCAGUAACUCAAGUUGGACCAAGAUGGUAAACCUGAUACUCAACAAUUCCAGACAAUUUGUUUCUUCGUUGAAAAAGUCUAUUUCAAAGUAACGUGAUUGACGCCAUUCAAUUUUCGGUUAGGAAAAGUAGGUUGGACCUUACCUGUUGAUGUAACCAUUUCGCUGAGUACAUCGUAUAUGAACCAUGUGAGACGUUUUCUCCUCGUCAAGGUAGAGACGUUGCUGGUGGAUGAUUUACCGAUAUUUGCUGUUGACAAACUGACAGUUAUCAACUUGACAUAAGCAGAUUAACAGCUGGAAGAUUAACAAUUUCAAAGGAAUGUUAAUAUCUAGAGCAUUGCCAAUGAUCACUGUGGGCUUUUCAUUGAUUUCAGUACGAGUCAGCUUCAGUCUGUCAAUUUGUUGGAUUGUUCAACCAAAAAAUAGUGAUAGACCAAAUUUAAAAGGCUAACCCAAUCCUUUUCGCAUAUUCAUAAACACCUUAACAUUCGUUUUGGAAAAUGGACCAAAAAUCUCAAUAUACGCUGCCAAUGGAAACCGCUCCGAUAUCUUGCCUUUCAGCCAAGCUAUCAUCAUGUCUAUCAAUAGGAUCAUAAUUCCAAUCAUCGUUACUUUAAUUAUCUUCUUGAUGGCCCAACAACAGCGCAACAAUAAUAUUUGGCCAUUUGUUUUUAAAAUAAAUGCAAUCAAUUUUAUUGGAAAUAUUUUCACUCAGCUUAACAAGUGAGGUUGAGUGGGUGGUCAGCAAGAGAAAAGGGGAAAAAUGAAUUUUUCUGGAAACUAAUGAAUCCCAAUGAAGAUAAUGUUGGCUGGUAAAGUAAUUUAAAUGUCUAUCAUACAAAGGGGCAAAUGAUUAAGAUGAUAAUGAUGCUGAUUUUAAAUCAAAGGAGAAAAAAAAGCAAAAAAAGCCAAACCAGAGAUGAAAAUAAUUUUGGUUAACAAGAACGGAAACAAAGAAAGAGAGAGAGAAACAUUAAUAUUUUCAUUUCCUCUGCCUUUUUCAACAUCCUUCAAGUUAUCCUGUUGAUGGUAAAAUGGCAACUUUCUUAACCUUCAAUUGUCGAUGAGACAAAAAGAAACUGUUUCCUUUGAAAAUCUUGAAACAUCAAUCACUAGAGUUGGUCACAACUUGAUGGCCAGUGUGCCGUUAACUCAACACUGGACACUUGAUGAUCACCAUUUGUUGUUCAUCUUUUCAACUUUUUUUCGUUUCCCUUGACCAUAAAUUUUAGACUGUAUUUUGAUACGCAAGGAAUCAGAUUUUUUUUUGGUUUCAUUCAAUUCUCAGAUUUGUUUUCAUCUGUUAUCAACCAUUUUCCAUCCGCAGACCCUUUGUUUGGACUCAAACCGCAAACUGUAAUUGGAUAUUAAACUCAUCUUCACCGAUUCGCCACAAAGAGGCUAGCACUGAAACAAAAGGUUGCCAUUUGAAGCGCAUUUUUCACGCAUCGUUUCACGAGUUUAGCUUUUUUUUCAAACUCACAGAUUCUGGUUACACUUUUGUUGUUAACUGAAAAGAGGUGAAAAUCCAGAAGAAAAAAUUUCUCUGUAAAAGCUUUCAAUCUUACCAUAAAAUAAUUAGCUUCAGACUCUAGUCAAUCAUCAGCAUUUCAAGUGGCAGAAGCGAUGGAAUUUUUGAGCUCGAAUUUUGAAACCUUUUUCUUAACUACAGUUUCUAAUUGUCAUUAUGUAUACAUUGGAAAUGUCAAAUUGCUUUUGAAAUUAAAAUUUUGCAUGAUUGAUUGAUCCAAUUUCAUGCCAUCUUACGUUUGUUAAACUAACUAAAGCUUUAUUUUUUUAUAUAUUUUUUUGAUGUGAUUUUUAGCAGUUUAAGUAAAAUCUAUCUUUCACUUUUUAUGUUUAAAGAUGAUUAAGGUUCCCAUUUUUUCAUGUAAUUGACUUUUUUUCCUUCUUCCUUGACAAUUUGUUAACUAUUUUAGCGUCAAUUGAAACUUAAAGUUUUGGACAUUUACGGAGCCUGAUUGUGAUAAUAAAUUGUAUUGUAUUAUAGAUGCUGUUUUAGGAUAGACAUGGUAGAUGAACUCACCUUGGCAAUUAGAUAUGAAGAAAGUGACGUGAAAGUAAAGCUAAUCAGCUAACUCAAGUUGGACCAAGAUGGUGAAACUGAUACUCAACAAAUCCAGACUAAUUUGUUUCUUCGUGAAAAAUGUCUCUUCCAAAGUAGCUAAUUGAACAAAUCCAAUGAUCAGUUAAGUAGGAAAAGUAGGUUGGACCUUACCUGUUGAUGUAACCAUUUCUUGAGUACGUCGCAUGUGAACCAUGUGCUUCUUUCCUUGUCAGGUUAUAUCUUUUGAAUGGUUUACAGAUAUUGGCCAUUUUUACAUUCCUUGGCUCGUUUGGGGAUGAUUUUUAAACAGCCCCAGAAAGUUCAGACUGGUGAGACUCACUCAAAUGGAAAAGCUUUGGUUUUUGAAAUUGAAAGAUCAUUCAAGGAUACAAGUUGUUACAUGAAUCUACUUUGCAAAUUUGAUUUCUCUAGAACAAACUGUUUUAAAAUUUAUAACCACAACGUGCGUCAAGGAUAUAAAAAAUGCUUUGUUGACAAACCGAUAGUUAUCAACCUGACAUAAGCAGAUUAAUACACAGCUGGAAGAUUAACAAUUUCAAGGAAUGUUAGCAACUCUGGUCUUAUCAAUGAUUGACAUUACUCCUGAGUUGAAACCUUUGGUAAUGUUUCAGUGUUUUAUGGCAACUUAAUGAUCACUGUUGGUUGUUGCAUGCGGCAAGGGUUAAACAUUGACCAAAAAUGCGUUCUAAUGGAUAUUUCUGGUUCUCUUAAAGGCAGCUUCUGAUUCACCAGUUUCAGGUGUCUAAAGGCCAACUAUCAAAGAGUAUUACAAUCAUAGAUUUGACUAGAUCCGUAUAUAUAUUGGAAAUCACACUGGAAAUCAAGUUGAAGAGCAGUGCUUUUGAAGAGUCUGGAUACGCUCAUCUCAAGAAGCCCAUUAGAUCCGAGCUUUGAUCAUUGAGAGGUUGAUAAGUCAUUAAUUUUAGCAACUAUCAGCUGACUAUCAAGACUAAAGUAUUUCACCAAUUCUCUUCAUAAUGUUUUGCAAUCAACCAUUAAUUUUGCUUUUCAAACAAGACAAUUGAGAAUAGAGCCACUUUACACACUCGUCUUCAAUCAUGGUGUAUAAACAUUCCAACGAUGGUGAAUGAAAUUUCCAGUAAACAGUUAACCUGGUCCAUCAAUCACCCACCCGGUUCAUUAGUGAAAGUAAUAAUUGAAAAUUACGAGUGAGUUAAUUUGACUCUUGUAACAGUUCAAUAUUUACUCUACUUUUUGACUAUCAAGUAUUCCAAUUGAAUAGAGCUGAUACAAACCUGGGAAACAUGGAAAAUAUAAAAAAAAGCAAAACAAAACCUGAUGUACUAUUAAUACAAAGAAAAGUAACAAAGUCAACAACAAUCAUUGACUCAAUCCAUGUAACAACAUAAAUAAUGAUUGCGAGGCCAACAACAACAUCAACAAACCUAGGAAUCUCAAUUGAUCGAGAGGAAACAAACCAUCUAAAAUUAAUCUGUUUUCAUGAUUUACUUCCACAUAUUAUGAUGAUAUUAAAUGAUACUUGAUAUUUA